rnacentral:rRNA from 1 species
CACGUAGGGUGCGAGCGUUGUCCGGAAUUAUUGGGCGUAAAGAGCUCGUAGGCGGUCUGUCGCGUCGGUCGUGAAAACCUGCAGCUUAACUGUGGGCUUGCGGUCGAUACGGGCAUGACUGGAGUUCGGCAGGGGAGACUGGAAUUCCUGGUGUAGCGGUGAAAUGCGCAGAUAUCAGGAGGAACACCGAUGGCGAAGGCAGAUCUCUGGGCCGUAACUGACGCUGAGGAGCGAAAGCAUGGGGAGCGAAACAGG